GGGGAGGGGCAGAAAGAGAGGGAGACACAGAAUCUGAAGCAGGCUCCAGGGUCCGAGCCGUCAGCACAAAGCCUGAAGUGGGGCUCAAACCCAUGAGCAGUGAGAUCAUGACCUGAGCUGAAGUCAGAGGCUUAGCCGACUGAGCCACCCAGGCGCCCUGCGCAAUACAGUAUUUUAAAAUUAAGGCAUAUGUAUUGCCUCUUUAGACAUAAUGCUGUCAUUGCACACUUACUAGACUACAGUACAGUGUGAACAUAACUCUUAUAUGCCCUAGGAAACCAAAAGAUUCAUCUGACUCACUUUAUUGUAAUAUUUACUUUAUUGCUGUGGCCUAGGACUGAACUAGCAAUGCCUCCAGGGUGCGCCUGUAUAAAAAGAAGCCAGUAAUUUUGGAUUUAGGGGAUGCAGUGAGAAGUUUUGCGAUGGGUUGACAGCUGAGCCAUAUCUUGAAGCAUCAGAAGCUUUCUAAUUAUGAAAACAUGAGGGAAGGACAUUCUAGCCCGAGAGCACAGCCUAAGUGAAGAGUGGAAAUGGCAUCCACUUGAGGAAUAUUCUAGAAAUUUGACUAUAGUUGGAAUAUAGUUUACGGGGUAUGUGUAUGGAGGGGGAGGAUGCAAUGAAACAUGAGGCCAAAAAGAGGAGGAAUCCUGAUAGCCAUGUGGAGGAUGUGCUAUGUGGGGCUGAGAAGAAAGGCAGGGAGAUUGUUUAGAAAGCAAGAGAUGAUAGGAGUCUGAACUAAGGCAGGGGGGUGAAACGUCCCUGACUGGACAGGAUGGUAGAAGAGAGGAAAUAAAACAGACUGGCAGGUGCACAUGUUGAUUGAUUGCAUCAACAGACUUUACUGAGCACUUGCCACAUGCCAGUCACUGUGUGCAACUGAAAAGACGAAGAUGAAGAGACAGUGUCCCUGGUCUUGAGGGCUUACCACCAAUUAGCCCUCAGCCAUGUCCCAUAUGCCUGUGAUGCAUGAACUACAAGAGGGGGCUAUCCAAUGUGGAGGCUGUUGGAGGAGGUGGAGGGACAUUUAACUUAGGUCUUUUUCUUUUAACUUUAUUUAUUUAUUUUGAGAGAGAAAGAGAGAGCAGCAGAGAGAGAGAGAGAGAGAGAGAGAGAGAGACAGAAAAUCCCAAGCAGACUCUGUACUGUCAGUGCAGAACCCAAUGUGGGGCUCGAACUCACAAACUGUGAGAUCAUGAUCUGAGCCAAAAUCAAGAAUCAGACGUUUAACAGACUGAGUCACCCAGGUGCCCCAGGCAUCCCUUACUUUAGAUUUUGGUCAGAGUAACAAGAUGUAAGAGAGUACUCAGAAAGCAGUGUGCUAAUGAAUAAACAACCGAUUACUAUAUGAGAUCACAUAGCUAUUCUUUUCCUUCUAAAUACACUUUUAUCCAUUUCUUUGUAUUCAAUGCAAGCAAAAUGGCAACAGUCAAGGUUUCUUGGCUGCCUAUUAAUACGCAGUAAUGGUCUAGAAUAAGUUAACUGGAUCUCGCAUUUUCCCAAUUUUCACUCACUAAAGCUUUCUUUUAUUAGAUUUAGGUAUCAUUAAUUUCUUCAUUGAGAAAAUUACUCUGCAGAGGGUUGGGUGGAAGGAGGUAUGCCGUUGGGCCUCGUUAGACUGUGGGAUGGCAUUAGAGGGUCCGAUGGCUUGAACUAUCCCUAGUGGAAUGAGCCAAACUGAGCUGGGAGGGGGUGGGAGUUGUUUGAGGGGACCUGGGGAUAUUGUAGAUACAGAUGGAUGAUGAACAGAUAGAGGCUGGAUGAGAGCGAGAGAGGCAUUCCUGGUACAGAUGAAGCCACAGAAGGGCAUGAGAUGGAACUGAAGGGGACGUACAGAGCCUCUCGAAAUCUUGAUCCUGCAUUUCCCCCCACGUGUGCUCUCAUGAACUACACUGGAAGCGCCAGACUUUCUUCCUCUGGGAAAGAAAGAGAGAGUGAUUAUGGGGGCCAUCUCAGCAAGUCUGAAAUCAGUAGGGCAGGCAGUCAGGAACAGAAGAUCAUGGGCAGGCUUAAAUCCACAAACAAGAGCUGAAGCUGUCACCCACCAGUAGACAGGAAGGGGACAUCAGGAGCAGGAUGGAACUCCAUAGGCGCUAGCCAGAGCUGUGGUCCACAGGGGGACCUUCUUCUCGCUGAGCCCACAUGUUCUGUGAAGACAUGACGUGUGGGGCAUGUAUGUGGUAGGAGUGGGGGGAAACCCUGGACCAGACGUCAGGAGACCUGGGCUUGGACCACCUCCAGUUUCCUGUAGCAUUAAUGGUAGAUUCAAUGGUAGAUCCUUUCAACAAAGUUUGUAAGUCCGAGAAUUCGGUAUAACUUGAACUUAGGUAUUUUUUCUCUGUCUGAAAGUGCCAGGGCCCCUCUGAAGGACAGCUGAUAUUUUUGAGAAUAGUCACUGUAGGAGGAGAGAAAGCAAAAUUUCAAGGUUCAUGAGUUGAGGCUUAUCCAUAGACAUGGUCCUGGGAGUCAGGGAGUUGUCAGGGGGAAGAAAGUAGAGGAGCAGGGUCAGAACUAGGAUGAGGCUGUAUUUGAAUCACCAUGGUAAAAAUAGAGAUCCCAGGGCCUUCGUGCAGAGGGGUGUCACGCUUCAGCUGGUUUUCAGAUGGCACACCCUAUGGCACAAAAUUUAAGGAGGCAUCACUCUUAGAGUAGUCAGGUACUAACACUCCACUUGCUAGUGACUACCUCCUUACACUUUGCACCGUAGGCUCCUGCUGCCUUACCCUGGUGGUGGUAUUCUGUCCAAACCAGGGAAACAGCCAGGGCCCUCAGAAUAGCUCAUCUGGGAUGGAAGGAGUAGCAGAGAGAAAGAGAAGGGAGCCUUCUUAGGUAGCAGAGCAGAGAAGGAUGGCCAGGAAGAGGCCGGUCUCAGUGUAAUCUAAAACCCACGCUUUUUUUUUUCAGUUUUAUGGAGACUUAUGAUUGAUAAACUUGUGAUUGUAAAAUUAAAGUGUGCAUCUUAAUGAUGUUGAUGUCUAUGUGCAUUGUGAAAGGGUUCCUCUCGUCGAGUUUAUUAACACAUCUAUCACCUGUUUUAGACAUAUUUGUUUACUUACUUGUAGACAUAUUUGUUUACUUACUUUUUGGUGAGAACAUUUAAGUUAUAUACUCUUAGCAAAAUCUAAUCAUACGUUGCAGUGUUAUAAACUACAGUCACCGUAUUAUAACUUACAUGAGUUGUAAGGUGAACAGGAUGCUCAGGCCUUCCAUGGAAGGAACUUGGAAGCGAGCUCCAUUGCUCUGUGUGUAGCUGUAGGUUUGCUGUGUCUGUGGAAAGAAGUGAGUUCAGGAGCUUUUUGUAUAUCAUCAUCUUGAACCAGAACCCCUUUAUUGAUUGCUUCCCUACCCCCUGAAUAUGGGCCAUACUUUCUUAUUUUGUGUGUGUGUGUGUGUGUGUGUGUGUGUGUGCGCGCCUCACCAUUUGUUGUUGGAAACUGGAUUUUAAAUGAUAUAAUACAUCAACUCUGGAAAUCAGAUUCUCCCUCUUCCCUGGUGUUUAUUGUUGUUGAUGUUGUUUGUUUAGUGACUUUUCUGAACGAAUUCUGUAAUGUCUAUGUAUUCUUUGUCAUGUGUGGCCACUGAAGUCUCUGCUCAGUCAGCUUAGUGGUCAGCUAAAGAUUGGACAGAGAUUUGCUUUAGAUGCCUAGAACCAAUAAGUCUCUCAGUCUGUGCAGAGGCUCUAGGGGCAUGUUGGGGCAGGCCUUCAACAAUCAGCCAGGAAGUUUACAACUCUGCCUUAGCCUUCACUUCCUACUUUUUUAGAGCAUCAAGGUUAGCCAGAGACGAAAGCUUAGGACCUUCCUGAAGUCUUUCCUAAAUAAGUACACAGCCCUGGGUAUGUGCACAUUCCUAUGCAUAUGCAUGCUUUCUAGAUUCUCUGGAAUAUUUCAAAAUCCCCUUAUGGACACCUUAUUCCCCAGCUUUUUAUUUUAAGGUUUUUGAUUAGCUUAUUGUUUGCCCCAACUGUUAUCCAUUGCCUCAGGCAGCCAUAAAGGCCCACAAUUGUCUUUGAUUGUUUUCAACAGACCUCCUUAGGGAAAAAGCUCUUCAUCCUGGGCAAGCUCAGAGUCCAGUCAAAGUAAGAUGGCCUUGCAAAAGGGAUCUUCCAGACAGUUCAAAUAAUGACUGCUCUCUGGAAAUGAGGCUUUUUGAAGGAGCUCCAACCCUCUUCUACCUCUGACUACCAAGCUGCUGAUUUUCCCUGUGAUCAUGGGAUGUUGGUUCCUAAGGCUACUUCAGCGCUGGAGAGAGGGUGAUGGAAUUAGAGCAAAUUAAAAUGCCAUAAAGCAGGGCGCCUGGGCGGCUCAGUCGGUUAAGCGUCUGACUUUGGCUCAGGUCAUGAUCUCACGUUUUGUGGGUUCGAACGCCACGUCGGGCUCUGUGCUGACAACUCAGAGCCUGGAGCCUGCGUUGGAUUCUGUGUCUCCAUCUCUCCCUGCCCCUCCCCUGCUCACACUCUGUCUCUCUCUGUCUGUCUCUCUUUCUCAAAAGUAAAUAAACAUUAAAAUGCCAUAAAGGCUCACUGUUCUUACAAAGAUUGUGUCCUUUUUCUUGAAUAAACACUUUCCAUAUUAAGCUCUUGGUUAAUUUCCAGACUUUUGAGGAAGUUGAUUCUGAUAAUUUUUUGUCAGUUUUCUCCUUGCUUUUGUGAAGAAGAGAAUUUUCAGAGGGCUUUACUCUGGCAUUUUCACUGACAUCACCUGUAACAUAUUUGAAAUGCCCUUCCCUGUGAUUGCCUUCUCAUUUCUUAAAACACAGCUCAAAUGUCUCCUCUAUUAUAAAGCCUUUUCUGUGUCCUCUGGGCAAAGGACUCGGUUAUUUCUUUAUCUUCCUAUACAUCUAUGUUGAUGCCCCUGUUAUUUCACUUUUCACAAAUAAUUAUUUACACCUGUUCCUGUGUCUUCCCUCAGCCUGCAGUUUCCUAGUUUGUGACGUAUUCAUUCUCCAUGCCCAAACUAAUUCCAGACACAGUAACUAUUCAUCUAUGUAGGCAGAGGGGUAUUUGUUUUAGGGGAUCUCAGAGCCUAGCCAGGGAAUUCUCAGCUCCCACCAACAGUUCUUUCCUCCUCCUUCUGUGAUUCAUAGCUGACCUCUGUCUCUUCAUUGUAUUAGAAGUGUGGGGUGCUGUGUGUGAUUACCAUAAGCUCAGAGUUGACACACUGAAUGUAAGAGGAAAAUAGCAAAAAUAAAGGCUGUGUGGAUGAGGUUCAACAGUAAUAAUCAUAAUAGUGAUAGCAGCUAAUAGUUACUGAGUAGAUUCUCUGCUAGAUAUCAGGCUAGGAGCUUUACAUUCAGUAUCUCCUUCAUUUCCAACAUCAGUCCCAUGAGGUGGGUACUAUUCCUUAUUUUGCAGGUGAGACAGUAAGGGAAGUGGCAGAUCUGGGGUUAGGUGAAAGCCCGUAUUCCUAACUGUUCUAUCUGAGGGGUCCGUGGGAAGCAUUUGGAACAGGGGAAGCCACACAAGUCUUUUUUCUUCCUUGGGACCUGUUCUGCCUCUCUGAAGAGCUGUGGUUCCCAGGCGUGCUCAGCUCAGCCAGGCCGCUUUGUGCUUUGAAGCAAGAUAGCACUGGGGGCUCCUGUAGUAACUGGUCCCCAGGGCAGCUGGGGGGAGAGACCCCAUUUCCUCAGCAUUGGGGCAACAGGUGUAGCCCUGAGGAGAGAAACGACUAAGAUUCCUCAUUAUCAUCCCAAUUCCAACAUGGUGACAGCCCCACACUGCUGGGAAAGCCAACCCACACAGAGAUGAGAUGUAAUCCAGAGGGCUCAGAAACAUUUCAACAAAUGCUAAUAUCAGUCUUUCCAAUACAGCCCUGUCAGCAGGAAGGGGGAAUGUGCUAGCAUGCAUGGGGCACACUGUUUGGCGCAAGGGACCUGGUUGCUAAGCAACAGUAGCUGGCCUCCCCUCCUCCCUAUAACCUUUUUCUCUGUUUCUAAGCUUCUAGUUAGCAGAUGGGAGGGCCUGAGGCUGCCCAGCCCAGCCCAGCCCUUGGCCCCUUUCCCUGCAACAAGGGGUCUAUUCAUGGUUUCUGAGCAGAUUUAUUGUCUCUUUGGCACGCGCGUGCACGCACGUGUGUGUGUGUGUGUGUGUGUGUGUGUAGUGGGGGGAGGAUAAAGGGAGGGGCCCUAUGUGAACUAGGGAAACCUCACCCUCCAACCAAGCUGGCUGGGCUAUUUAAUCAAUGCUGAUCCAAGAACAGGAGCAGAACCCUGACUAGCAGACCCUGAGGCUUUACAUUGGUGCCACUGACCCAAAUGAGCCCGAUGCCGGAUGGCCAAGCCCACAUGGAGCCUCAGUAUGCAGAGGAGGGUCCAGGACCUGGGAUCUUCAGAGCAGAGCCAGGAGACCCACUGAGGAGGCCUGAGGCCCAGCAGCAGCCCACCUCUCAGGCGGGGCGCUGGUGCUCAAGGCGGCGCGGAUGCGUGGGGCUGGGCGCCCUGGCGCUGCUGGCUGGUGCGAGCGUCGGCUCAUGGCUUCUCGUGCUGUAUCUGUGGCCAGCCACCUCUCAGCCAUCUCCUGGGAACUUGCAGGAUGAGGAGAUGCCUUUGAGCUGCUCAGAGGCCAGUGGUGAGGAAGCCCUGCUCCCUUCGCUUCCCAGAACAGUAUCUUUCAGAAUCAACCCUGAGGGCUUCUUGCUGGCAGUACAGGUGAGGGCUCGGCCAGACUGGCUCCUGGUCUGCCACGAGGGCUGGAGCUCUGCCCUGGGGCUGCGGAUCUGCCAGAGCCUGGGACAUCUCAGACUCACUCACUACAAGGGAGUGAACCUGUCUGACAUCCAGCUCAACAGCUCCCAGGGGUUUGCUCAGCUUUCUCCAGGACUGGGAGGCUUCCUGGAGGAGAUGUGGCAGCCCAGGGACAGCUGCGCUUCUGGUCAAAUCGUUUCCCUCAGAUGCUCUGAGUGUGGGACGAGGCCCCUGGCUUCCCGGAUAGUUGGCGGGCAGGCCGUGGCUCCCGGGCGCUGGCCCUGGCAGGCCAGUGUGGCCCUGGGCUCCCGGCACACGUGUGGGGGCUCUGUGCUGGCCCCACGCUGGGUGAUGACGGCUGCACACUGCAUGCACAGUUUUAGGCUGUCCCGGCUGUCCAGCUGGCGGGUGUACACGGGGCUGGUGAGCCACAGUGCCGUCAGGCCGCACCAAGGGGCUGUGGUGGAGAGGCUCAUCCCUCACCCCCUCUACAGCACCCAGAAUCACGACUACGAUGUCGCCCUCCUCCAGCUCCGGACACCGCUCAACUUCUCAGACACCGUGGGUGCUGUGUGCCUGCCAGCUGAGAAGCAAGAUUUCCCAAGGGGCUCACAGUGCUGGGUGUCUGGCUGGGGCCACACCGACCCCAGCCACACCCACAGCUCAGACACGCUGCAGGACACGGUGGUGCCCCUGCUGGGCACCCAGCUCUGCAACAGCUCCUGCAUGUACAGCGGGGCCCUUACCCCCCGCAUGCUGUGUGCCGGCUACGUGGACGGGAGGGCCGACGCGUGCCAGGGUGACAGCGGGGGCCCCCUGGUGUGCCUGGACGGGGGCACGUGGCACUUGGUGGGGGUGGUCAGCUGGGGCCGCGGCUGCGCGGAGCCCAAUCACCCUGGCGUCUAUGCCAAGGUUGCCGAGUUCCUGGACUGGAUCCAUGACACUGCGAGGGCCCGCCAGAUGGAGGAGGAGCUGCAGACCCAGGUGCAGAAGGCACGGACCUCCUUUCGCACAAGACAGUCAUCGCCCACAGGCCAGCCUCCGGGUCCGGGCCUCUCCUCUCGGGCCCUGGUUUUGAGUCCCUCUUUCUCACCAGGGAGCCUCAGUAACAGGAGAGCUGAUGGGGCUGGGCUGGAAAAGUGGGGGGAGGGGCGGGGGAGGAAGAUGCUGCUGGCGGCAGCUGGGCACCCGCCCUCCCCCCUCUGCCCUUCCCUGCACGCAUCUUUUGGGAGGAUGCUCGGGGAUGCCCUGGGACCGCUUUCUCCAUGUCUCUCAGGCAAGGAAAGUGCCUCCUUAGAGGAGCCCCUGGCCCCGAGGCUUCUGGGCAGAUGGGGUCAAGGCUGGGCAAGCCCAUGCAGUCAGGAUCCUCCCCACUCUGCGUGUUCUCAAGUGGCUGUGGCUGACCCGACGGGGCAGGGUCGGGGACAUGUAAGAAUGCUCUGGUUGGCCUUCAGUUAGGACUUUGCUUUUAUAACGACAGUUCUGUGAACUGGUUCAAGGACUGCUGUCUUGGAGUGAAGUGAUAUAGGGUCUCAGUCCCUCAUUUUCUCUUGCUCUCUGUGUCUCUCUUUCUCUCGUACACACACACUCUCUAUCUGUGUCUCUGUCUCUGUCUGUCUCUCUUUCACACACACACUCUUUGUCUCUGUCUCUCUUUCUUUCUCUCUCACACACACACACACGCUAAAAGGAUAGAAGUACAGUUUUCCUCUCAUACAUGUUUCUUAAAUCUCCGGAUCUGACUCCUGCUCCUCUCUCUAGAAUCUGGGCAUUCACUUAUUCAAUUCUUUACAUUUCUUGAAUCUACAUGUCAUAACCUGCAGCAAAGAGCCCCCGCCGUCCAGAUGGGCUGAUGCACAGGUUUGAGGACCUUCCCCCCACCCCAAGUCAGUGCUGUCUUGGGAGACCUCUGUCUCCUUGGCUCCUGUUCCAGCACUGGGCCUUCUGUCUCGGGGAGAUUUCUUUCUGAGUUUAUGCCCAGUUAGCAUUUUCCUGGUUAAGCUUCUCCCCGACUCUCUUCUCUCUAGCAAUUAAAAUGCACUUGGCAUCUUGUUUCUAAAAAGUGCAAUGAAUUUUUUAUGGUGCUUACCCAAGGAAAUGCAAUUAGCGUUUAGCAAUAACAACUUUUUCAUGAAUUUAUCAGCAUUUUUUUGGAGGGGUAGUACAAAUGAAUAUUCAUUCCUGGAGGGUCUGCUCACUUUUGGCAAAGUGCACUAAAAAAUAAGGACCUCGAUUUACUGUCGCUGUAUUACCUGGGAGGGGUUGCUGGGAGUUGGCUCUCACAUUGGAGAAGUGGUGGGGGAGAGACUCUGGCAGGUGACAGACAGCCUCAUCCCCCCCCCCCCCACCACCACCCAGCUCUUAGAUCUCCAUCCUCUUCCCUGAGCUCGAACAUUUACCACCUGACUCUGGUGAGUCCCCAUCUCAAGAGGCAGGUUCAGGGCAGCUGAUCCCCCUGGGCAGGAAAGAGUUACCUGCAAAUCCAUCAACUAUAAUCUUUUCAGUGUUUCUCAUGUCCCUGUGAGUGUUUGCUUAUUUAAAGGGAGGUUUUCCUUUAUCAUAGUCAUUGUAGCUGGUUAAUAAUCAGUAACAUGGGGCUAUUACAGUUUAUCAACACAGCUCACGUGUACCUCAUUGAGAUCUCACACUAGCUAUGCGGUGAAGAUAUUAUUAUUGUGCCCACUUUAUAGGCAAGAAAAUUAGUUUAGAAAGAUGAAGCAUCUCCCCAAGACCAGCCACUAGUAAGCGCCAGUGAACCCUGGAUCUUUUUAUUCCACACCCACAUCACCGUUUGGCACAUGGAUGAACGAGAUGGUCCAGUGUUGCACAGCGUAGACGUGAAAGGUUCUUUAUCACCUAGUGGAGUCACCUGCCUACACAAAUGCAUCGCCAUCCCUGCUUUUUAUAGCACAGAGAAGAGGCUAUAUAGGAGGACACAGUCAGAAGGUGGUCAUCAGCAAGCCAAGAGGGGAAUUCUCACGAGAACCUGACCGUGAUGGCACCUUGAUCUUGGACUUCCAGGCUCCAGAACUACGAGGAAAUUGAG